AUUGAACGCUGGCGGCAGGCCUAACACAUGCAAGUCGAGCGGAUGAAGGGAGCUUGCUCCUGGAUUCAGCGGCGGACGGGUGAGUAAUGCCUAGGAAUCUGCCUGGUAGUUGGGGAUAACGUCCGGAAACGGGCGCUAAUACCGCAUACGUCCUGAGGGUGAAAGUGGGGGAUCUUCGGACCUCACGCUAUCAGAUGAGCCUAGGUCGGAUUAGCUAGUUGGCGGGGUAAAGGCCUACCAAGGCGACGAUCCGUAACUGGUCUGAGAGGAUGAUCAGUCACACUGGAACUGAGACACGGUCCAGACUCCUACGGGAGGCAGCAGUGGGGAAUAUUGGACAAUGGGCGAAAGCCUGAUCCAGCCAUGCCGCGUGUGUGAAGAAGGUCUUCGGAUUGUAAAGCACUUUAAGUUGGGAGGAAGGGAAGUAAGUUAAUACCUUGAUGUUUUGACGUUACCAACAGAAUAAGCACCGGCUAACUUCGUG
rnacentral:rRNA from 1 species